ACAGCUUGGCGGACCAGAUCUUUCAAAACAAGGGCUGUAAUGAGAAAAUGAUCAAAGGGGGAGCUGACAGGGAAGUUGGAGCCCCUCAUUUUCACAGAUGGGGGACAUGAGGCACAGAGAGCUGGGGCGAUUUGAUCAAGGUCACACAGCAGGGCUGGAACCACCACCCAAGGUUUCUGUCCCUCUGGAGAGACAUGCUCCCACCACACCCUGCUGUCGUGAGCUUCGAGAAGCCCAGAGCACCAAGACUCACCAGGGUCGCUGAAGAAGGCAUCUGACUUGUUUCUCAGGCUGCUGAGUAGAGGACUUGAACUUUGCCAUCGGCCAUGUGAGAGUCAGCCCACCACACUGCAGGCUGGAAUGAGGGAGAGAGAGAGAGGAGAGAGAGAACGUGAGAAAUUG